ACGCGUAAAGCGCCGUAGGCAGGAGCGGGGGACCCAGGUAGGCCGCCGGGUCCGUACAGCCCCUUCGAAGUCGGGGACGUACGGGAACGGCUUGGGGUGAAGUCGCGCGCAAGGUCGCGCGACCGGGCAACUCAUCAGCCCGAACCCGACAGCUCACCUCGUAGGCGUCGGUGAGGAGAUCC
rnacentral:sRNA from 4 species